ACGUAGGGUGCAAGCGUUAAUCGGAAUUACUGGGCGUAAAGCGUGCGCAGGCGGUGAUGUAAGACAGGUGUGAAAUCCCCGGGCUUAACCUGGGAACUGCAUUUGUGACUGCAUCGCUGGAGUGCGGCAGAGGGGGAUGGAAUUCCGCGUGUAGCAGUGAAAUGCGUAGAUAUGCGGAGGAACACCGAUGGCGAAGGCAAUCCCCUGGGCCUGCACUGACGCUCAUGCACGAAAGCGUGGGGAGCAAACAGGA
rnacentral:rRNA from 1 species